UCGGUGAUGCAGCUAACGCAUUAAACAUUCCGCCUGGGGAGUACGGUCGCAAGAUUAAAACUCAAAGGAAUAGACGGGGACCUGCACAAGUGGUGGAGCAUGUGGUUUAAUUCGAAGAUACGCGAAGAACCUUACCUAGCCUUGACAUAUAUUAGAAUCUUUCAGAGAUGAGAGAGUGCCUUCGGGAGCUUUUAUACAGGUGCUGCACGGCUGUCGUCAGCUCGUGUCGUGAGAUGUUGGGUUAAGUCCCGCAACGAGCGCAACCCUCGUGUUUAGUUGCUAACAGUUCGGCUGAGCACUCUAGACAGACUGCCUCCGCAAGGAGGAGGAAGGUGAGGACGACGUCAAGUCAUCAUGGUCCUUACGGCCAGGGCGACACACGUGCUACAAUGGGUAGGACAAUGAGAGGCGAUACCGCGAGGUGGAGCAAAUCUAUAAACCUACUCUCAGUUCGGAUAGCAGUCUGCAACUCGACUGCUUGAAGCUGGAAUCACUAGUAAUCGUAGAUCAGCCAUGCUACGGUGAAUACGUUCCCGGGUCUUGUACUCACCGCCCGUCACACCAUGGGAGUUGAGUUCACCCGAAGCGGGGAAGCUAAACUGGCUACCCUCCACGGUGGAAUUAGCGACUGGGGUGAAGUCGUAACAAGGUA
rnacentral:rRNA from 1 species